rnacentral:rRNA from 1 species
CAGCCGUAAACUAUGCUCGCUAGGUGUCAGGCAUGGCGCGACCGUGUCUGGUGCCGCAGGGAAGCCGUGAAGCGAGCCACCUGGGAAGUACGGCCGCAAGGCUGAAACUUAAAGGAAUUGGCGGGGGGAGCACCACAACGGGUGGAGCCUGCGGUUUAAUUGGACUCAACGCCGGGAAGCUCACCGGAUAAGACAGCGGAAUGAUUGCCGGGCUGAAGACUCUGCAUGACUAGCUGAGAGGAGGUGCAUGGCGUAGACGUGU